GGCACGCACGAUAUUUUCACCUAUGGUCACUACUACCAUUUAAAGAGAAAAAUAUUUUACUUACUUUGAUAAAGGUUGCAGAGAAAAAUAUUUUACUUUGAUAAAGGUUGCAGUCUCAAAGACGGUUUUCUUUUUUCCGAAAGCAAACUGGGGUUGGGCAGACCUCUACCAGAUUAUAUUAAGAGCAUCUGUAAUGGGUCUCCUAUAUCUAAAAUUAUAGAAUUUCUAAAAAAAAACAAGCCCUAAUACGUCUUCUAAAAAUAUAGCAGUCGACCCUAAUACGUCUUCUAAAAAUAUAGUAGUCGGCCAUCUACGUAGGCGGUCUGCUAAAACUUUGGCUAAAAUCGAUGGAUGGAUAGAAAUGUAGGGGACAUUAAAAAUAAAUUAUUUCACGCAGGUCUAACCAGCGUGGAACCAUUUCUAGCAAUUUUUUUUUGUUCCACGUCAGUCUAACCAGCGUGGAACCAUUUUAUUUUUAUUUUUUUGUUCCACGCCAGUCUAACCAGCGUGGAACCCCAACAACCGUAAUUUCCGAACGGCUAUAAAGUGAAACUAUGUAUAUAAAAAUGGCGGUUAGAACUAUGUAUAUAAAAAUGGUGGUAUAGUCCAGAAUGCCACCAAUACCAGCUCUCUCAUCCUUCAAAGAGCCAUCUGAGUUUAAGCAAAUACAGCCAUGGCUUGGUGCUUUCCAUUUGCAAAUUUGCAAACCUGUGUUUGUUUAGACUUUCACAGUUCCACUGAACUCUGGUUGAUGUCUGCAUUGCUGUAAGUCUGUUCACAGCUGUAUACUUGCAAACCCUCGUACCCCCUCCAUUUCUGAGUUCAAUGAAUUGGAUGAUGCUUCUCUGAUGUUGCUGCUCAGGUUUAGCCACCUGGUUAAAGAUCCUUGCAUUCCUUUCCAUCCAGAGAUGAUAAAUGGUAGCACAAAGUUACAGGUACGAGCAUGAGUGCAACUUAGUCCAUUACUAAGCUUCCCAUUCUUCAGAGGAAGUAACCCAACACAGAGAGUCAGAGACCAUAUAAAGCACUUGACUACUUGAGUAAACAGCCCAGCAGAAUAACACCAAGUUCUCCAGACCUGUAGUGCCUUCUUUUUGACGUUCUCUCUCUAUCUCCACGAGCAGUCACGACCUGUCAGACAUCAAAUCCAUCCAGUAGAAAAAUAUUUUACAUAACGAUACACAACACAUAUAUAUGAUCAUGAAUAUUGAGUGAAAGUCUCUCUAUCUCCACGAGCAGUCACGAUACACCAUAUAUAUAUGAUCAUCAAUAUUGAGUGAAAGUGCAUGUAGCAUAUGGAGGAUUCAGAGCAUGUGUUAUUGACUUAUUGUAAUUCUGAUGUAUCUAAGCAUAUGGAGGAUCUAGAAUUCUAGAU
rnacentral:lncRNA from 1 species